UUAGUACUGCACGCGCACUGGAGCCCGUGAGCGGAGACGAGGCUCGUUUAGUAUUCCGUGCACAAGGCGAAGGAGAGAGAAGGGAGGGAGGGGAUAGAGUGAAAUAGAGAAAAAAACGAGGCUGUGAAGACAGGCAAAAACACAGAAAGAGAGGAAGAAGAGGGGAGCGGAGAGACUCCUCUGUCCCUCUCGGUCUACUCUUUGACAUCCGUCUGUCCCAGGCAACUUCAAAGCUCCUGUAGAACAUUCCAGAAAUACAGCCAUGGACCUUAAUGAACAUCAAACCUUGAAUGAAAAAACAAAGAGAGAAAUCUAGUGGAAAUACACCAUACGUCUCAGAUUUUACCCUGCCCUGAUGCUGCUUUAAGGACCAAGCCUGCAAACACUCUCCUCUUCCCUGACUGAUGAAUUAACUGAGAGUAAUAGCCCACGAAAUCUAGGCUAUGCUUUUUGAACAACAGACUUAAAUAUAGUCUCGCUGUUUAUCCAUUGAAGAAAACAUUUCUCUAUAAUUGAAUUCCCUCCUCCUUCACUAUGACAAGGACUCAGGGAUGUCAUUGCUAUCCUUUAUAACAAGAGCCUAUGUUAUUAUUGAAAAGAGAGAUUGUGGCUCACUUACCACUGGGUUUAGCAGCUAUUAAUAUCAUAAAGAGAUCAUGUCAUAAAGAGACUGUCUCAGGUCCUCGUUGAAACAUUGUCCUUCAGAAUCGAAAGCGAGUUCCUGUUUUAUCAGAAUCCUACGGUAGAAAGUGGCCAGACA